GACGAACGCUGGCGGCGUGCCUAAUACAUGCAAGUUGAGCGCUGAAGGUUGGUACUUGUACCAACUGGAUGAGCAGCGAACGGGUGAGUAACGCGUGGGGAAUCUGCCUUUGAGCGGGGGACAACAUUUGGAAACGAAUGCUAAUACCGCAUAAAAACUUUAAACACAAGUUUUAAGUUUGAAAGAUGCAAUUGCAUCACUCAAAGAUGAUCCCGCGUUGUAUUAGCUAGUUGGUGAGGUAAAGGCUCACCAAGGCGAUGAUACAUAGCCGACCUGAGAGGGUGAUCGGCCACAUUGGGACUGAGACACGGCCCAAACUCCUACGGGAGGCAGCAGUAGGGAAUCUUCGGCAAUGGACGAAAGUCUGAACGAGCAACGCCGCGUGAGUGAAGAAGGUUUUCGGAUCGUAAAACUCUGUUGGUAGAGAAGAACGUUGGUGAGAGUGGAAAGCUCAUCAAGUGACGGUAACUACACAGAAAGGGACGGCUAACUACGUG
rnacentral:rRNA from 1 species